rnacentral:rRNA from 1 species
AUGAACGCUAGCUACAGGCUUAACACAUGCCAGUCGAGGGGCAGCGGUAUCGAAAGCUUGCUUUCGGUAGCCGGCGACCGGCGCACGGGUGAGUAACGCGUAUCGAACCUGCCUCAUACUCGGGAAUAGCCUUGCGAAAGUAAGAUUAAUGCCCGGUGUUUUCAGAGUCCCGCAUGAGGCUUUGAACAAAGAUUUAUCGGUAUGAGAUGGCGAUGCGUCCCAUUAGCUUGUUGGCGGGGUAACGGCCCACCAAGGCAUCGAUGGGUAGGGGUUCUGAGAGGAAGGUCCCCCACAUUGGAACUGAGACACGGUCCAAACUCCUACGGGAGGCAGCAGUGAGGAAUAUUGGUCAAUGGGCGGAAGCCUGAACCAGCCAAGUAGCGUGCAGGAAGACGGCCCUCCGGGUUGUAAACUGCUUUUAGUUGGGAAUAAAACGGGGCUCGUGAGCCCCCUUGCAUGUACCAUCAGAAAAAGGACCGGCUAAUUCCGUG